GACGAACGCUGGCGGCGUGCUUAACACAUGCAAGUCGAACGGAAAGGCCCUGCUUGCAGGGUGCUCGAGUGGCGAACGGGUGUGUAACACGUGGGUGAUCUGCCCCUUACUUUGGGAUAAGCCUGGGAAACUGGGACUAAUACUGGAUAGGAACAUGCUGUAGGUGGUGUGGUGGAAAGCUUAGUUUCGGUAAGGGAUGAGCUCGCGGCCUAUCAGCUUGUUGGUGGGGUACUGGCCUACCAAGGCGUCGACGGGUAGCCGGCCUGAGAGGGUGGGCGGCCAGAUUGAGACUCAGAUACGACGCAGAAGCCGGCGGGAUGCAGCAGUGGGGGAUAUUGCGCUAUAGGCGCAAGCCUGAUGCAGCGACGCCGCGUGGGGGAUGACGGCCUUCGGGUUGGAAACACCUGCCAGCCAUGACGAAGCCCGUGUGGUGACGGUAGUGGAAGAAGAAGCACCGGCUAACUACGUG
rnacentral:rRNA from 1 species